UGGGUUGGUAAAUCUCGUGCCAGCCACCGCGGUUAUACGAUGAGGCUCAAAUUGAUAUUCUACGGCGUAAAGCGUGAUUAGAGGAAAUAAAAACUAAAGCCGAACACCUCCUUAACUGUCAUACGUUUAAAGAAGUAAGAAGCCCCACAACGAAAGUAGCUUUAACUCAAGGACUUGAAUUCACGAAAAUUAAGAAACAAACUGGGAUUAGAUACCCCACUAUGCUUAACCGUAAACAACGAUGGAAUCUUACAAAUACCAUCCGCCAGGGAAUUACGAACAUUAGUUUAAAACCCAAAGGACUUGGCGGUGCUUCAAACCCACCUAGAGGAGCCUGUCCUAUAACCGAUAAUCCCCGUUUAACCUCACCACUCCUUGCCAACCCAGUUUAUAUACCACCGUCGCCAGCUUACCCCAUGAGGGAACAACAGUAAGCUAAAUGGGCCCCGCCCAGCACGUCAGGUCGAGGUGUAGCCAACGCAGUGGGAAGAGAUGGGCUACAUUUUCUGAAACAGAAUAUUACUGAAGGUGUCAUGAAAUAAAACACAAUUGAAGGUGGAUUUAGCAGUAAAAAGAAAGUAGAGAACUCUUUUGAAACUGGCUCUGAAGCGCGCACACACCGCCCGUCACCCUCCUA
rnacentral:rRNA from 1 species